GACGUAGGGCGCGAGCGUUGUCCGGAUUUAUUGGGCGUAAAGAGCUCGUAGGCGGCUUGUUGCGUCAGCUGUGAAAACCCGCAGCUCAACUGUGGGCUUGCAGCUGAUACGGGCAGGCUUGAGUUCGGUAGGGGAGACUGGAAUUCCUGGUGUAGCGGUGAAAUGCGCAGAUAUCAGGAGGAACACCCGUGGCGAAGGCGGCCCCCUGGGCCGUACCUGACGCUGAGGCGCGAAGGCUAGGGGAGCGAACGGG
rnacentral:rRNA from 1 species